UGAGGAAUAUUGGUCAAUGGGUGCAAGCCUGAACCAGCCAUCCCGCGUGAAGGACGACUGCCCUAUGGGUUGUAAACUUCUUUUGUAUAGGGAUAAACCUACCCUCGUGAGGGUAGCUGAAGGUACUAUACGAAUAAGCACCGGCUAACUCCGUGCCAGCAGCCGCGGUAAUACGGAGGGUGCAAGCGUUAUCCGGAUUUAUUGGGUUUAAAGGGUCCGUAGGCGGACUUAUAAGUCAGUGAUGAAAGCCUGUCGCUUAACGAUAGAACUGCCAUUGAUACUGUAAGUCUUGAGUAUAUUUGAGGUAGCUGGAAUAAGUAGUGUAGCGGUGAAAUGCAUAGAUAUUACUUAGAACACCAAUUGCGAAGGCAGGUUACCAAGAUAUAACUGACGCUGAGGGACGAAAGCGUGGGGAGCGAACA
rnacentral:rRNA from 1 species